GAUGAACGCUGGCGGCGUGCCUAAUUCAUGCAAGUCGAGCGAACGGACGAGAAGCUUGCUUUUCUGAUGUUAGCGGCGGACGGGUGAGUAACACGUGGAUAACCUACCUAUAAGACUGGGAUAACUUCGGGAAACCGGAGCUAAUACCGGAUAAUAUUUUGAACCGCAUGGUUCAAAAGUGAAAGACGGUCUUGCUGUCACUUAUAGAUGGAUCCGCGCUGCAUUAGCUAGUUGGUAAGGUAACGGCUUACCAAGGCAACGAUGCAUAGCCGACCUGAGAGGGUGAUCGGCCACACUGGAACUGAGACACGGUCCAGACUCCUACGGGAGGCAGCAGUAGGGAAUCUUCCGCAAAGGGCGAAAGCCUGACGGAGCAACGCCGCGUGAGUGAUGAAGGUCUUCGGAUCGUAAAACUCUGUUAUUAGGGAAGAACAUAUGUGUAAGUAACUGUGCACAUCUUGACGGUACCUGAUCAGAAAGCCACGGCUAACUACGUG
rnacentral:rRNA from 1 species